UACGUAGGGUGCAAGCGUUAAUCGGAAUUACUGGGCGUAAAGCGCGCGUAGGUGGUUUGUUAAGUUGGAUGUGAAAUCCCCGGGCUCAACCUGGGAACUGCAUCCAAAACUGGCAAGCUAGAGUAUGGUAGAGGGUGGUGGAAUUUCCUGUGUAGCGGUGAAAUGCGUAGAUAUAGGAAGGAACACCAGUGGCGAAGGCGACCACCUGGACUGAUACUGACACUGAGACGCGAAAGCGUGGGGAGCGAACAGG
rnacentral:rRNA from 1 species